UCCCUGGUGGCUCAGAUGGUAAAGCAUCUGUUUCCAGUGCAGGAGACCCGGGUUCAACCCCCAGGUUGGGAA
rnacentral:tRNA from 1 species